rnacentral:hammerhead_ribozyme from 1 species
AUUUGGAUCAUGAGUCCCAAAUAGGGCGAAAUGAGCAUCCUAAAU